CCUACGGGGUGCUGCAGUGGGGGAUAUUGCACAAUGGGGGAAACCCUGAUGCAGCGACGCCGCGUGUAGGAAGACGGUCCUCUGGAUUGUAAACUACUGUCCCCAGGGACGAAGAUGACGGUACCUGGGGAGGAAGCUCCGGCUAACUACGUGCCAGCAGCCGCGGUAAUACGUAGGGAGCGAGCGUUAUCCGGAUUUAUUGGGUUUAAAGGGUGCGUAGGCGGAAGGUUAAGUCAGCGGUCAAAUGUCGGUGCUCAACACCGGCCUGCCGUUGAAACUGGUCUUCUUGAGUGAGCGAGAAGUAUGCGGAAUGCGUGGUGUAGCGGUGAAAUGCAUAGAUAUCACGCAGAACUCCGAUUGCGAAGGCAGCAUACCGGCGCUCAACUGACGCUGAGGCACGAAAGCGUGGGGAUCGAACAGGAUUAGAUACCCUAGUAGUC
rnacentral:rRNA from 1 species